AAUGAAGACCUGUAUGAAUGGCAUCACGAGGGCUUAGCUGUCUCCUCUUCCAAGUCAAUGAAAUUGAUCUGCCCGUGCAGAAGCGGACAUAAACACAUAAGACGAGAAGACCCUAUGGAGCUUUAGACACCAGGCAGAUCACGUCAAGUAACCUUGAAUUAACAAGUAAAAACGCAGUGACCCCUAGCCCAUAUGUCUUUGGUUGGGGCGACCGCGGGGGAAAACAAAGCCCCCAUGUGGACUGGGGGCACUGCCCCCACAACCAAGAGUCACAACUCUAAGUACCAGAAUUUCUGACCAAAAAUGAUCCGGCAUCACGCCGAUCAACGGACCGAGUUACCCUAGGGAUAACAGCGCAAUCCUCUCCCAGAGUCCCUAUCGACGAGGGGGUUUACGACCUCGAUGUUGGAUCAGGACAUCCUAAUGGUGCAGCCGCUAUUAAGGGUUCGUUUGUUCAACGAUUAAAGUCCUACGUGAUCUG
rnacentral:rRNA from 1 species